CUGGAGCAGCCCUUAUGGGAAGAAAGACCUUUCAAGCAACAGCCUGAAGAAGUAAUUUAUGCUGUUUCAGGAAGUUCUGCAACCCCUCUUAUUUCUAUGAUAGUUUCCAAUAACACACGGCGAAUGAUUUGUUUUACAUGGUGAUUUAAGUGAUUUAUUUCCAAUGAAUUGUAUUUCAAUUAUGAAAUAUUGUACUUGGUUGCCAUGGUGAUUUAAGUGAUUUGUUUGACAUGAUGAUCAGGCUUCAAGGGAAUCCUGUAUGUACUAAUGCAAAUGAAGUCAACAUAAUCAAGUUCUGUGGGUCUCAGAAUGGAAAUGGAGUGACACCUGGAGGCUCAACAAACGCCACGCCCAUUUGUCCCACUCUAUCAUGCCAUGCAGAUUUCAAUUUUGAAUGUUUUAGAAUCUUGCCUUUUUUUUUUUUUUUUUUUUUUAAAUGAAUUAAAAGUCUCUCGUGGUGCUUGUGAAGAAGAACCUACAGGUAAUCUAUCAAAUUUUCAGAAACCUUUCGGGCAUGAUCCGAUCCUUGCGUGCUGAACUUCUAGAAGAAAGGCAUUAUGCGGCAUUUGAAUGACAUGGGUGAUUCAGAAACUCUCAUCCAUGAGCCAUAGGAGUCCUCUUUGCUAGUAGAAAAUGAUGAAAAGAACUCGGUUGGUAAUUUCAAGAGCUCCAUGGAUGCUAACAAAAAGCGUAAAAGACGAAGUAUUGCCAGAUUGGCAAAGGAAGGGCUCAAAAGAAGGUUGAACAAGAGAAGAUACCAAGUAGCCAUUUCAAGGCAAGGCAUAGCCAAUAGUUGAAGUUCCGGGCAAUUUCUUUUGUAUAGGUCCUAGUUUGGGGGGGG